UCCCGGGUAGCGCAGCGGUAGCGCAGUUGACUGUUAAUCAAUUGGUCGUCGGUUCGAAUCCGACCCCGGGAGCCA
rnacentral:tRNA from 1 species